GAGUUUGAUCCUGGCUCAGAACGAACGCUGGCGGCGUGCCUAACACAUGCAAGUCGAACGUGAUCCAGAGCUUGCUCUGGUGAAAGUGGCGCACGGGUGAGUAACGCGCGGAUAACCUACCCUGGUAUCCGGGAUAACAUUCCGAAAGGGGUGCUAAUACCGGAUAAGCCCACGGGCUCUUUGGAGCUUGCGGGAAAAGGUGGCCUCUAUUUAUAAGCUACUGUAUCAGGAUGGGUCCGCGUACCAUUAGCUAGUUGGCGGUGUAACGGACCACCAAGGCGACGAUGGUUAGCUGGUCUGAGAGGAUGAUCAGCCACACUGGAACUGAGACACGGUCCAGACUCCUACGGGAGGCAGCAGUGGGGAAUUUUGCGCAAUGGGGGAAACCCUGACGCAGCAACGCCGCGUGAGUGAUGAAGGCCUUUGGGUCGUAAAACUCUGUCCUAUGGGAAGAAAAAAAUGACGGUACCAUAGGAGGAAGCCCCGGCUAACUACGUGCCAGCAGCCGCGGUAAUAC
rnacentral:rRNA from 1 species